rnacentral:rRNA from 1 species
CCCCUAGACGUUCUGGGCUGCACGCGCGCUACAAUAAUACGCACAGCGAGUAUCACCGAGCUCGAAAGGGCAAGGUAAACAAUAGAAAAGGUACUGUAAUGGUUAUAGAUCCUUGUACUUAUUGAUCUUCAACGAGGAAUUCCUAGUAAGUAUGUGUCAUCAUCACGCACUGAUUACGUCCCUGCCCUUUGUACACACCGCCCGUCGCUCCUACCGAUUGGGUGAGCCGAUGAAACUCUCGGAUGUAGGCUAUUCAUAGCCCGCAGAAGAGAUUUGAAUCGUAGCGCUUAGAGGAAGGAGAAGUCGUAACA